UACGUAGGGUGCAAGCGUUAAUCGGAAUUACUGGGCGUAAAGCGUGCGCAGGCGGUUUUGUAAGUCUGUCGUGAAAUCCCCGGGCUCAACCUGGGAAUUGCGAUGGAGACUGCAAGGCUAGAAUCUGGCAGAGGGGGGGUAGAAUUCCACGUGUAGCAGUGAAAUGCGUAGAGAUGUGGAGGAACACCGAUGGCGAAGGCAGCCCCCUGGGUCAAGAUUGACGCUCAUGCACGAAAGCGUGGGGAGCAAACGAGG
rnacentral:rRNA from 1 species